rnacentral:rRNA from 1 species
AUUGAACGCUGGCGGCAUGCCUUACACAUGCAAGUCGAACGGUAACGGGCCUUCGGGUGCCGCCGAGUGGCGAACGGGGGAGUAAUACAUCGGAACGUGCCCGAUCGCGGGGGAUAACGAGGCGAAAGCUUUGCUAAUACCGCAUACGAUCUACGGAUGAAAGCAGGGGACCGCAAAGCCUUGCUCGGACGGAUCGGCCGAUGGCAGAUUAGGUAGUUGGUGGGAUAAAAGCUUACCAAGCCGACGAUCUGUAACUGGUCUGAGAGGAUGAUCAGCCACCCUGGGACUGAGAAACGGCCCAGACUCCUACAGGAGGCAGCAGUGGGGAAUCUUGGACAAUGGAGGAGAGCGUGAUCCAGCCAUGCCGCGUGCAGGAUGAAGGCCUUCGGGUUGUAAACUGAUUUUGUACGGAACGAAAAGCCUUCUUUUAAUACAGGAGGGUCAUGACGGUACCGGAAGAAUAAGCACCGGCUAACUACGUG